AACGCAUGAUGAAAUUACAAUAACAGUAUCUGAUAUCAUACUUUUACAAUGGCUACCGCAUCCUAUAAGUUCGGCAAUAAGAACUCCUACAUUACACAUCUAACCUGUGGCUCUAUUAAAGCAAUGUCUGAAUGAACAAUCAGAUAGCUAUCUGUUACAACAUUAAAACUACAGUCAUCCAAGGGACUUAGCAGCCUAAAAAGGUAAGAAAGGGUGAGAUAGAAGAGGCCAGCAUCAAAUUACUCUAUUUGAUGUGCUCAAUCAAGGCUUAACCUUGCUUGGCAUCACUGCCACUUCUCCCAUUUUCAACUACCUCUCCUUCCACCUUCUCGAUCACAAUAUCCAUAUAAUUUGGUUUCUCAUUAUUGCCGUUUGCUGCUUCUUUAUCCUUGAUCUCUCCUUCAGACUUGGGAAUGCUUUCGUCAUGUUUCUCUCUGUCUUCUACUACACCUUUGUACUUCUCANUCUCAUUCAGGUCUGUGCCAGCUUUAUCGAGUUCCCCACACCCAUAUUCUUUGGAAACCUCAAGCUGCUGUUGCUCAUCCUUUCCUUUAAACUUUUCAUCCUCUAUAUUUUCCUUUUUACUUUCAGAUGCCCCAGAACCAUGUGAUGUCCCCUUGGAGCGCCCAAGCUCUACUUCACCUUUUCCCUCUCCAGCUUCAUCAGAUUUGUCUGCAUCUUGUUCAACUUUAGCUUCUUCAGUAGGGGUUGAUUCUAUUUUAGCAUCAGUCUCUAGUGGUUUUUCUUUAUUCUCUUCCAGAUUUCCUUUCACAUCCUCCUUUCCAGCUUCCACUUCUGCAUCAUCCUUUCCGGUUUUUCCAGCUUCCUGCAUUUGAAUUUCUUUUGUCUCCUCAGCUCCUUCUGGUGCAGUUUCUGUUUCUUUGUUCUCCUUUUUAGAAGCUGAUGAUUUCCUGCUUCGUUUCCUUGGGGUUUCAGUUUCAGGGGUUAGAGCUGCCUUUGCCUUCUCACUAAUCCGUGCUGAUCGUCUAGGGGUCUCACCAGUGCCCCAAUCAAACUCAGAUGCAGCUGGACCACCAGGGUGUGCUUUGAGAUAUUGUUCCAA
rnacentral:misc_RNA from 1 species